rnacentral:sRNA from 1 species
AUGGGUUGGAAAGUCAAGUGCACAUCUUGCGGUACUGAAAGAGUACUUAACAUUAGCUUUGAUAUAGGAAGACAAAAGACUAUUUACAUCUAUUGUAAUGU